rnacentral:rRNA from 1 species
UGCGUAGGCGGUUUGGUAAGUCUGAUGUGAAAUCUAUGGGCUCAACUCAUAGUCUGCAUCGGAAACUGCCGGGCUUGAGUAUGGGAGAGGUGAGUGGAAUUCCUGGUGUAGCGGCGAAAUGCGUAGAUAUCAGGAGGAACACCUGUGGCGAAAGCGGCUCACUGGACCAUAACUGACGCUGAUGCACGAAAGCUAGGGGAGCAAACAGGAUUAGAUACCCUGGUAGUCCUAGCCCCAAACGAUGACUGCUUGGUGUGACGGGUACCCAAUCCCGCCGUGCCGUAGCUAACGCGUUAAGCAGUCCGCCUGGGGAGUACGGUCGCAAGGCUGAA